rnacentral:rRNA from 1 species
GGAGGGGCUUGCGCCAUAUUAGUUAGUUGGUAGGGUAAUGGCCUACCAAGACGAUGAUGUGUAGCUGGACUGAGAGGUUGAACAGCCACAUUGGGACUGAGACACGGCCCAAACUCCUACGGGAGGCAGCAGUAGGGAAUUUUCGGCAAUGGAGGAAACUCUGACCGAGCAACGCCGCGUGAAUGACGAAGUACUUCGGUAUGUAAAGUUCUUUUAUCAAGGAAGAAAAGCAAAUGGCGAACCAUUUGUUUGCCGGUACUUGAUGAAUAAGCCCCGGCUAAUUAUGUGCCAGCAGCCGCGGUAAGACAUAAGGGGCAAGUGUUAUCCGGAAUUAUUGGGCGUAAAGGGUGCGUAGGCGGUCUAGUAAGUCAGUGGUGUAAUGGCAACGCUUAACGUUGUCCGGCUAUUGAAACUGCUAAACUUGAGUUAGAUAGAGGCGAGUGGAAUUCCAUGUGUAGCGGUAAAAUGCGUAAAUAUAUGGAGGAACACCAGAGGCGUAGGCGGCUCGCUGGGUCUUAACUGACGCUGAGGCACGAAAGCGUGGGGAGCAAACAGGAUUAGAUACCCUGGUAGUCCACGCCGUAAACGAUGAGUACUAAGUGUCGGGUUAAACCGGUACUGAAGUUAACACAUUAAGUACUCCGCCUGAGUAGUACGUACGCAAGUAUGAAACUUAAAGGAAUUGACGGGACUCCGCACAAGCGGUGGAUCAUGUUGUUUAAUUCGAAGAUACCCGAAAAACCUUACCACGUCUUGACAUGUUUUUGCAAAAUGAUAGUAAUAUCGUGGAGGUUACCAGAAACACAGGUGGUGCAUGGUUGUCGUCAGCUCGUGUCGUGAGAUGUUAGGUUAAGUCCUAAAACGAGCGAAACCCUUAUCGUUAGUUGCCAGCACGUUAUGGUGGGGACUUUAACGAGACUGCCAAUGAUAAAUUGGAGGAAGGUGAGGAUCACGUCAAAUCAGCAUGCCCCUUAUGACCUGGGCUACAAACGUGAUACAAUGGCUGUUACAAAGGGUAGCUGAAACGCAAGUUCUUGGCCAAUCCCCAAAAACAGUCCCAGUCCGGAUUGAAGUCUGCAACUCGACUUCAU